GGCCAAGUUUUUAAGGGCGCACGGUGGAUGCCUUGGCACCAGGAACCGAUGAAGGACGUGGGAGGCCGCGAUAGUCCCCGGGGAGUCGUCAACCAGGCUUUGAUCCGGGGGUUUCCGAAUGGGGAAACCCGGCAGUCGUCAUGGGCUGUCACCCUUGCCUGAACACAUAGGGCAAGUGGAGGGAACGCGGGGAAGUGAAACAUCUCAGUACCCGCAGGAAGAGAAAACAACCGUGAUUCCGGGAGUAGUGGCGAGCGAAACCGGAUGAGGCCAAACCGUAUGCGUGUGAGACCCGGCAGGGGUUGCGUAUGCGGGGUUGUGGGAUCUCUCUUCCACGGUCUGCCGGCCGUGGGACGAGUCAGAAACCGUUGAUGUAGGCGAAGGACAUGCGAAAGGUCCGGCGUAGAGGGUAAGACCCCCGUAGUCGAAACGUCAGCGGCUCGUUUGAGAGACACCCAAGUAGCACGGGGCCCGAGAAAUCCCGUGUGAAUCUGGCGGGACCACCCGCUAAGCCUAAAUAUUCCCUGGUGACCGAUAGCGGAUAGUACCGUGAGGGAAUGGUGAAAAGUACCGCGGGAGCGGAGUGAAAUAGUACCUGAAACCGUGUGCCUACAAGCCGUGGGAGCGUCGGA
rnacentral:rRNA from 1 species